rnacentral:rRNA from 1 species
CCUACGGGUGGCAGCAGUAGGGAAUCUUCCACAAUGGGCGAAAGCCUGAUGGAGCAACGCCGCGUGGGUGAAGAAGGUCUUCGGAUCGUAAAACCCUGUUGUUAGAGAAGAAAGUGCGUGAGAGUAACUGUUCACGUUUCGACGGUAGCUAACCAGAAAGCCACGGCUAACUACGUGCCAGCAGCCGCGGUAAUACGUAGGUGGCAAGCGUUAUCCGGAUUUAUUGGGCGUAAAGGGAACGCAGGCGGUCUUGUAAGUCUGAUGUGAAAGCCUUCGGCUUAACCUGAGUAGUGCAUUGGAAACUGUGAUACUUGAGUGCAGAAGAGGAGAGUGGAACUCCAGGUGUAGCGGUGAAAUGCGUAGAGAUAUGGAGGAAUACUCGUGGCGAAAGCGACUCUCUGGUCUAUAACUGACGCUGAGGUGCGAAAGCGUGGGUAGCAAACAGGAUUAGAUACCCUUGUAGUC